ACGCUCACUUUGGCAGCGCGUACACUAAAAUUGGAACAAUACAGAGGUUAGCAUGGUCCCUGUGCAAGGAUAACACACAAGUUUGUGAGGUGUAAAAAUUAAAU